UCUUGAUCAAAGACAUUCCUGGGAUGACAGAGCCCUGUGAGCUGCGAGGCUGGCCCAGCGUGCGGGACGCACACCCCAUGCUGCAGCCCCUGCACAGGCCUGCCCUUGCUGGCCCUCGCUGGCCCUGGCUGCAGUGCUGACUCUGGGGACUAGCCUUAUGGUGGGACUGGUGAUGGAGCGGGUGCCAGGAGGCAACACAGCCUUCCCCACCAGAUUCAGAGGCCAGGCCCUCGAUGCUGGGCAGAGCCAGGCUGUGACUCUGCUUCCUGGGGUGCUUCAAGGAGGGUCACGCUGCAUGCAGGGUGGCUGGAGGGAGUGCCAGCUGCAUGCCACUGCCGCUGGGCCUGGCUUCUCUGGACUCCCACGGGCACUGCCCCAUCCUCUGCAACAGCCCUGCCCACUGUUAUCCCACAAGCACGGUCGGAAGUCUGCAUGCCCGCUCUGUCCAGCCUCCUUCCUCUGUCCCCUCAGGGACUUUCACUCCUCAUGACAACUCUAGGUGUUGUCUGGGCCCCUGGGGAAUCCCCGGCCCUUCCAGCCAUGGAGUCAGCUCCUGGCACGUGGAUCAGGCUGGACCUAUGGAUCUGCAACUCAGCCUGGCAGCUUGGGGCUGCCCUGUGGGAGCCGACACGACCUCCUUUCCAUUUGGCCCCCUUCCUAGGACCCACUGUUUGCCAGGGUGGGGAGAAGGGAGGCAGAGAGGAAUCAGGGAGACUUCCAUCCUGGAGGGACUCAGCCGGAGCAGGAAGGUGCCCAGGUAUGACAAUCCCAGACUGCCAGAGCCACCUGCCUGGUGUGGGGUGGGGAAGCCUCCAGAGAGCCUGUCCUCACAGUGAGUGCGGAGAUGAAGGGUCCUGUGGACCAAGGCGGUGGGCCGAGCACAGAACAGGAAGCUUGAUUCUGUCUGGUGUGUCAGGAGCUCCUGGGCAAAGACAUCGAGCUUACUGGGGCUCAAGGCUGGGUAGAGAUGGGGCUGAGUCCCAAGGACCUUGGACGGAGCUGAAGGGAGAUAGGAAGGCCGGGGGUUGGGGGCAGAAGAUGAAGAAUGGAUGAGGACUGUCUGCCUGCAGGGACAGGGGCCAGGAGGCAGGGCAGGGUCCCUCGUGAGCGGGUAGGGGUGCUGGGGCACCUGAGAACAGGCUUCUGAGAAGGGGCUGCAGGGAGAGCUGACUGCGGAAGUCGUUGUCUCUGAACUUCCUCAAAGGUCAGUUUUUUACUGUCACCCUCUGGGCAGCGCAGAUACUCCAACACUGGACGAGGCCUUCACUGCGUCCCA